rnacentral:rRNA from 1 species
ACGAACCGUCCAAACGUUGUUCGGAAUCACUGGGCUUAAAGGGCGCGUAGGCGGGCUAUCGAGUCCGGGGUGAAAUCCUCCAGCUUAACUGGAGAACGGCCUCGGAUACUGAUGGUCUCGAGGGGGGUAGGGGCACGCGGAACUGUGGGUGGAGCGGUGAAAUGCGUUGAUAUCCAUAGGAACUCCGGUGGCGAAGGCGGCGUGCUGGACCUCUUCUGACGCUGAGGCGCGAAAGCCAGGGGAGCAAACGGGA